rnacentral:rRNA from 1 species
GACGAACGCUGGCGGCGUGCUUAACACAUGCAAGUCGAACGAAGUGGCGAACGGGUGAGUAACGCGUAAUCAACCUGCCCUUCAGCGGGGGACAACCGUUGGAAACGAAUGCUAAUACCGCAUACUGAAGGAGGGGAUUGCGUCUGAUUAGCUAGUUGGAGGGUUAACGGCCCACCAAGGCGAUGAUCAGUAGCCGGUCGGAGAGGAUGAACGGCCAAAUGGGGACUGAGACACGGCCCAGACGCCUACGGGAGGCAGCAGUGGGGAAUCUUUCGCAAUGGACGAAAGUCUGACGAAGCAACGCCGCGUGAGUGAUGACGGCCGUCGGGUUGUAAAGCUCUGUUAAUCGGGACGCGGUACCGGAAUAGAAAGCCACGGCUAACUACGUGCCAGCAGCCGCGGUAAUUC